rnacentral:rRNA from 1 species
UACGUAGGGCGCAAGCGUUGUCCGGAAUUAUUGGGCGUAAAGAGCUCGUAGGUGGCGUGUCGCGUCUGCCGUGAAAGCCCAUGGCUUAACUGUGGGUCUGCGGUGGAUACGGGCAGGCUGGAGGCUGGUAGGGGCAAGCGGAAUUCCUGGUGUAGCGGUGAAAUGCGCAGAUAUCAGGAGGAACACCGGUGGCGAAGGCGGCUUGCUGGGCCUGUACUGACGCUCAUGCACGAAAGCGUGGGGAGCAAACAGG